rnacentral:lncRNA from 1 species
GCUUGAAAUAAGUAGAAAUUGUUUAAUAAUAUUUCUGUAAAUAACUUGAUCCUUUUCAGUGAUAAUUUAUAUCUGCAUAUAAUCAUUUUUAGAUUCCUUUGAGAAGCUACGGUUUCCACUAAGCGAUGCUGAGUACCAGAAACUGUCACUUGGUCUCUUGUGGGAGAUAAAAGAAAACGUUGUAAAUUAUUGUUGGCCAACUGAAGAAAAGGAUAACCAUGCAAUAAAAAUGAUGGCAACGAUGGAAGAUUUUAAUGCCUUUGAAAGAGAGUUGUUAGACGAACAGAAACGUUUAAUCUUGAAAAUCUUUACGUCAAGUCCGUGGUUUGGAUGCGAAAGACCAAGUAAUAAUGAUACUGGAAAGACUGUUUACCGUUGGACUUCUGUCCCAAUUUAAGAACGCCCCUCAUCAAAUCGGGGGUUGCGUAGGCAACGCCAAGAAACAGAGGAGAAAGCUCAAGAAACAGAGGAAAAAGAGGAAGGUGAAAAUAAUGUGGAAUUUGGAGAUGAAUCUGCUGAUGACUCUUAAUUUAUUUAACUUAAUUUAACUUAAUUCAUUUAAC